GAUGAACGCUGGCGGCGUGCCUAAUACAUGCAAGUCGAGCGAACAGACGCGGAGCUUGCUCCUCUGACGAUAGCGGCGGACGGGUGUGUCACACGUGGAUAACCUACCUAUAAGACUGGGAUAACUUCGGGACACCGGAGCUAAUACCGGAUAACAUGUUGAACCGCAUGGUUGAACAGUGAAAGACGGUCUUGCUGUCACUUAUAGAUGGAUCCGCGCCGCAUUAGCUAGUUGGUAGGGUAACGGCUUACCAAGGCAGCGAUGCGUAGCCGAGCUGAGAAGGGGAAGCGCCACUCAGAGAGUGUAACGCGAUCCAGGGUCCGAGGGGAGGCACCGAUAGGGAAGCGACGGAGAAGGGGGGAAUCCUGACGGAGCAGCGCCGGGUGGAUGAAGAGGGGCUGCGGAGCGUAAGACGGUGUUAGUGUGGAAAAACAAAUUUGUAAGUAACUAUGCGCUUCGUGACGGUACCUGGACAAAAAGCCACGGCUAACUACGUG
rnacentral:rRNA from 1 species